rnacentral:rRNA from 1 species
UAAUACGGAGGGUGCAAGCGUUAUCCGGAAUCAUUGGGUUUAAAGGGUCCGCAGGCGGACAAGCAAGUCAGUGGUGAAAUCCCAUCGCUUAACGAUGGAACUGCCAUUGAAACUGUUUGUCUUGAAUUCGGUCGAAGUGGGCGGAAUGUGUCAUGUAGCGAUGAAAUGCAUAGAUAUGACACAGAACACCGAUAGCGAAGGCAGCUCACUAGGUCUGAAUUGACGCUCAGGGACGAAAGCGUGGGGAGCGAACAGGAUUAGAUACCCUGGUAGUCCACGCCGUAAACUAUGAUUACUCGUUUUCGGCGAUAUACAGUCGGAGACUAAGCGAAAGUGAUAAGUAAUCCAUCUGGGGAGUACGAUCGCAAGGUUG